UGCGUAGGCGGAAGAUUAAGUCAGUGAUGAAAUCCUGCAGCUCAACUGUAGAACUGUCAUUGAUACUGAUUUUCUUGAAUACAGUUGAGGUAGGCGGAAUAUGUAAUGUAGCGGUGAAAUGCUUAGAUAUUACAUAGAACACCAAUUGCGAAGGCAGCUUACUAAACUGUGAUUGACGCUGAGGCACGAAAGCGUGGGGAGCGAACAGGAUUAGAUACCCUGGUAGUC
rnacentral:rRNA from 1 species